GAUGAACGCUGGCGGCGUGCCUAAUACAUGCAAGUCGAGCGAACGGACGAGAAGCUUGCUUCUCUGAUGUUAGCGGCGGACGGGUGAGUAACACGUGGAUAACCUACCUAUAAGACUGGGAUAACUUCGGGAAACCGGAGCUAAUACCGGAUAAUAUUUUAAACCGCAUGGUUCAAAAGUGAAAGACGGUCUUGCUUUCACUUAUGGAUGGAUCCGCGCUGCAUUAGCUAGUUGGUAAGGUAACGGCUUACCAAGGCAACGAUGCAUAGCCGACCUGAGAGGGUGAUCGGCCACACUGGAACUGAGACACGGUCCAGACUCCUACGGGAGGCAGCAGUAGGGAAUCUUCCGCAAUGGGCGAAAGCCUGACGGAGCAACGCCGCGUGAGUGAUGAAGGUCUUCGGAUCGUAAAACUCUGUUAUUAGGGAAGAACAUAUGUGUAAGUAACUGUGCACAUCUUGACGGUACCUAAUCAGAAAGCCACGGCUAACUACGUG
rnacentral:rRNA from 1 species